ACAGUUGCUGUCAAUCUCAUGACAUGUGUUAUGCCCAAGACUGUAACCCAAACAUGGUCACCUACAAAUACCGAACGAGAAGGCAAACAUCAGAUGCAUGCAGCAUCACUUGCGAGGACAAGCAGGGUUCCUGCGGGAGAUCAGUUUGUGAAUGUGACAGAGAAGCUGCCCGCUGUUUCGCAAGAAACAUGCGCUAGAACCCAAAACACAAGUCAUGGUACCRCUAGGAACACCUGCAUCGUAAAUAUAGACGAUAGUCGAUUAAUCUAGUAGUUAAAAUCUCGGGUAGCCGAGUAGUUAAAAACUCGUCUACUCGGGUAGUUAAGUACUCAGGCAGUGAAGUAGUUGAAAACUCGGGUAGUCAAAUACCCGGGUAGUCGAGUAGUGAACUCCGAUAGUCGGGUAGUUCUAAACUCGGGUAUAGUCGGGUAUCUAAAAACUCCGGUAGUCUGGUAAAAGCUUAAGGGAAUCAAAUGUUGUUGUUAUAAAUACAAUUCAAACUCAAUGUUAAUAAAUUGACUAAUCGUACUA